CCAGUGAUAGGGCAACUGGCAGCCCAACUGUCUUAGGAACAGUAGAUUGCGGGUUCAAAUCCCGCUCACUCAA
rnacentral:tRNA from 1 species